rnacentral:rRNA from 1 species
UACAGAGGGGGCAAGCGUUGUUCGGAAUUACUGGGCGUAAAGGGCGCGUAGGCGGCCUGUUAAGUCGAACGUGAAAUCCCCGGGCUCAACCCGGGAACUGCGUCCGAUACUGGUGGGCUUGAAUCCGGGAGAGGGAUGCGGAAUUCCAGGUGUAGCGGUGAAAUGCGUAGAUAUCUGGAGGAACACCGGUGGCGAAGGCGGCAUCCUGGACCGGCAUUGACGCUGAGGCGCGAAAGCUAGGGGAGCAAACGGG